rnacentral:miRNA from 1 species
UGAUUGAUUGCGCAAGAUAUUU